rnacentral:rRNA from 1 species
CCUACGGGAGACAGCAGUGAGGAAUAUUGGUCAAUGGACGCAAGUCUGAACCAGCCAUGCCGCGUGCAGGAAGACGGCUCUAUGAGUUGUAAACUGCUUUUGUACGAGGGUAAACGCAGAUACGUGUAUCUGUCUGAAAGUAUCGUACGAAUAAGGAUCGGCUAACUCCGUGCCAGCAGCCGCGGUAAUACGGAGGAUUCAAGCGUUAUCCGGAUUUAUUGGGUUUAAAGGGUGCGUAGGCGGUCGGAUAAGUUAGAGGUGAAAUCCCGAGGCUCAACUUCGGAAUUGCCUUUGAUACUGGUCGGAUUGAGAAUAGUUGCGGGAGGCCGAAUGUAUGGUG